AAACAAAACCAGAACAAGACAGAGCAAAACCGGAAAAGACUGUUUCUCAUGAAGAAAAAGUUGUCAAGCAGGUAAAAGCUAGCACAAUAGAAAAAACAGAAAAAGCUGAACAUCAAG